GCGAACUCCGUGCCAGCAGCCGGGGUAAAACGGAGGGGGCAAGCUUUGGCAGGAUGUAGUGGGCGUAAAGAGCUCGUAGGCGUGUUGGCGCGUCUGCUGUGAAAUCCCGAUGCGCAACCUCGGGCCUGCAGUGGGUACGGGCAGACUAGAGUGUGGUAGGGGAGACUGGAAUUCCUGGUGUAGCGGUGGAAUGCGCAGAUAUCAGGAGGAACACCAAUGGCGAAGGCAUGUCUCUGGGCCACAACUGACGCUGAGGAGCGAAAGCGUGGGGAGCGAACAGGAUUAGAUACCCGAGUAGUC
rnacentral:rRNA from 1 species